UUUCCGUAGGUGAACCUGCGGAAGGAUCAUUACAGAGUUCAUGCCCUCACGGGUAGAUCUCCCACCCUUGAAUAUUUAUACCUUAGUUGCUUUGGCAGGCCGUGGAAACACCAUGGGCUCCGGCUUAUGCGUGCCUGCCAGAGGAAACAAACUCUGUUUUUAGUGAUGUCUGAGUACUAUAUAAUAGUUAAAACUUUCAACAACGGAUCCCUUGGUUCUG
rnacentral:misc_RNA from 1 species